GAUGAAGAACGUAGCGAAAUGCGAUAAGUAAUGUGAAUUGCAGAAUUCAGUGAAUCAUCGAAUCUUUGAACGCACCUUGCGCUCCUUGGUAUUCUGAAGGGUAUGCUCGUUUGAGUGUCAUUGUACUCUCACACUCCCGAUCUUUGCAUUGGGAGCAGUGGACUUGGGUUUGCUGCUUCACCGUCGCUUACCUCAAAUAGGUUAGUGCAACUCUUGGUUGGACAUAGUACGGCGUGAUAAGUGUUCUUCGCCGGUGCCUCGCAAAGAGGGUGGCCAAUCGGGAUGUUGUGCUCCAAACCGUCUUCGGACAAUCUCUGACGACUUGACCUCAAAUCGAGUAAGACUACCCGCUGAACUUAAGCAUAUCAAUAAGCGGAGGA
rnacentral:misc_RNA from 1 species